UGCCAAGUCUGGGCUAUUUUGGUCUCAAUGUCUCCGUCCUUCCCUCGUUAUAAGGAAGGCACAGGCGGGCGCGGGCAAAUCGAGCCUGGGCCUCCUGUGGUAACAUUUCAAGCAUGCGUUAUACAUUAUUAUUAUUUUUAAAAAUAUAUUUAUUAAUUGUUUUAUUAAUGUCAGUACGUAAAAAAUAAUUAUUAUUAUUUAUCAAUUAAUUUCCGAUUAUCAAUUUCCCUUGCGUAAUACAAAAUGACUGAAAAACGGCAAACUUCGCAAGGCUUUAUUAUCCACAUUUUACAACAUUUCGCAACGAAACUUCGGAAUAUUACUAAUUUUGUGAUGCUCUUUCAAGCAGUGUGAUGAAAUUUUUGUCCAGACUUGUCUAGAUCAAAAUUUCACUCAAAAGGGGAAAGGUCUAUUAUCGAAAGGGUGUAUUGGCCUCACUUUUCUCAUAAGCCUGAAGUUCUUGCUUGAGAUAAAUUAUAUAGCUCACUGCGUGAAACCACCAGUGAAUAAUUUAUACAAUGGUGCGUCACUGCCUUCGUCAAUGCAUUCCAGGCCACCAUCUCGAAAGAACUCGACACUGAGUCCUUGAAUUUGAAAACCGCGAAAUUCAAGGCGAUGGAAGUCCUUGAAAUUAUAAAGAAGCUUCAGAGUCGUUAAAUCCUUGUUGCCUUCGUUUUCGAGAUUUUCUGAUAUCGUUUGACAUAAAAAACUGACGUAGAUUUUGUUGAAAUUAUUGUGUUUUUAAAACAGUUUAAUUUGAAUGUCACUCUUCACUGAUUUUUAGUCCUAGAACAGAAUAUGUAUAAGCGAAACAAAAUGUAGAAAUUGCAGAUAUAAUCAGCUAUAUUAAUGAAAGAGUUAUCUAUAUAGAUUUAUAUAAAGUAUCGUUAACAUUUAUAAAUGAAAUAUAAUGCACAAAUUUUCAAAGGCAAAGCCUGAAAAAUACAAUUAACAGAUGUAAGCAAAGUGAAAAUGUAAAUCAGUUAUAAUGAAAAUAGUUAAUAUCAUAUCAUAUAUAUCAAUAAAACAACGUUAAUAUACACAAUAUUGUGGGCGCCAUGCCAUUGCUAAGGCUAAGCUCUCAACGAGUGGCCGCGUCUGAAAUUCAAGCUUGCGGCUAGCCAUUGCUCCGAGUUUGACGUCAUCAAUUUUUAUCUCACAAUAAUCUAUACACGUAAAAACGCACAAGUUGUUACAAAUCUGUUCACAAGCUGUCGACAAGUUGUGUUCGCACUGCUUGUUCCCAGCUGUUGUAACAAGUUUGGAACAAGCUGUUUAACAACUUCUAACAAGCUUGAUGGCAUUAUCAGACUUGUUACAAGGUUGUUCUAACAAGUCUGAUACAGUCAUGAUAUAACAAGAAUGUUACAAGGUUGACAACACAAGGUUGUAACAAUAUUGUCAUAUCAUGACUGUAUCGGACUUGUUGGAACAACCUUGCAACAAGUCUGAUAAUAUCAACAAAGUUUGGAACAAGCUGUUAACAUUAACUUGUAACACGCUUGAUGGCAUUAUCAAACUUGUUACAAGG